GUGCCAGCCGCCGCGGUAAUACGUAGGGGGCUAGCGUUGUCCGGAAUUAUUGGGCGUAAAGCGCGUGUAGGCGGCUUGGUAAGUCCGAUGUGCAAGCUCGAGGCUCAACCUCGAGUCUGCAUUGGAAACUGCUUGGCUAGAGUCCGGAAGAGGGGACUGGAAUUCCUGGUGUAGCGGUGAAAUGCGCAGAUAUCAGGAAGAACACCGGUGGCGAAGGCGGGUCCCUGGGACGGUACUGACGCUGAGACGCGAAAGCGUGGGGAGCAAACAGGAUUAGAUACCCUGGUAGUCCACGCCGUAAACGAUGGGCACUAGGUGUGGGAGGUGCCGACUCCUUCCGUGCCGUAGCUAACGCAUUAAGUGCCCCGCCUGGGGAGUACGGCCGCAAGGCUAAAACUCAAAGGAAUUGACGGGG
rnacentral:rRNA from 1 species